rnacentral:lncRNA from 1 species
UUGCUUCCUGGGAAUUCUCGUCCAGUCCGUCCCUAUCCCGUACACCGUCUAUCCGCCUCCGUCCUCAUCCGCUCAAGUCCCGAUCCGCGCCGCUGGCCGCGGCCAUCCGAGCUGCCACCACCGGCACCAAGCAUCCGACUCCAGCUUGGCCACGGCAACCCCGGACGCGGCAGACGAAUCUUCCGGCUGGGCCUGGGAGGGCGACGGCGGCGCUCGAGAUCUAGCCCAGCGAGGGGCCGCGCCGCUCCCGUGCAGGUGCUUCGCCGCUCCCACGCAGGUGCUCCACCGCUUCGAGGUGAUUUGUUCUGUGCGAUAUAUACGCAGUACGCUGCCUGCUUGCUAGGAUGCGAUUUGUUCUGUGCGAUGUCUGUGCAAUGCAUAGAUGUGAUUUGUUCCUUUUGUUCUCGUAUGCGGCCAAAGCCAGUAGAUACAAAGAAUCUAUCACUCAGAAACAUGAUUAAGUUUUUUUGAUUGUUUGUUCAAGUAAAUAAAUUCCCAACUGACCAACUUCUCCUAAUUAAGUUCUGGAACACGUUUGUGGCAUAGAUACUUGUUGACGUCAGAUUUUGACACGUAUGGAAUCGGCGUCAAAAAAUAAAAGGAUUAGCCGAACACGUAUGGAAUCGGCGUCAAAAAAUAAAAGGAUUAGCCGAUGCGGCGAGUAAAAAGGGUGCGAUUGGGAAUCGGCCGGUUGGUGCUACAGUUGGAGAUCAGCCGAUUGGCGCUGCAGUGUUUUGGCGGACGGAGUUGGUAGAAAUCGGCCGAUUAAGAGGCUGGGGCAAUUGGGCCAAUACGGGCUUAAAGUGAAUUACAAAGAGAAGAUAAAGGAGGAUUGGCCCACAGGAGCACAACGACCAACUCCGAUGCGAGUUGUAAUUGUAAAUAUUUGUUUUCGUUUAAAAUUAGAGAUAGAAUCCUAGUCGGUUAAAAGAUUGGUUCUAACAGGCUAUAAAUAGCCAUCCUUAGAGAUCUGUAAAAACAACAUCAAAUCAAUACAACAAUCUACUAUUUCCUCG